rnacentral:lncRNA from 1 species
CAAUACCAGGCACUGCCCCUGAAGUUACAAUCUGUCCUUUAUUGUUCUCACAUAUGGAAAGGUUAAGAAGUGCUGUAACAGCAUGCUCUUGAGUUCGAGAAUCAGGUGUGGAUAGAAGAUGGACUAGCAGAGGAAUGGCACCCGCUUCAGCUAUUGCGACACGAUUAUCAGUAUUACGCUUAGCAAGAAGGCGGAUUUCACCUGCAGCACAACGAGCCUCUUCAGGGCUGCCAGAUUUGAGCUGUCUCAGGAGAUUUUCUAUCAUCGAGUGCUCAGCAGGGGUGCAUGCAGAUGCAGACUUCUUGGGUGGAUAACUACCUGGUCUUUUGGGUNUUCAAUUUUGCGCAAAGCGCUCCACCUGACUUUUUUCGGUUAUUUAAUCGAAUCAUUGAUGAAUAAUGCAUCUCUAAACACAAUUUCAAAUUCCAAAUUCCAAAGAUUCAACUUCAAAAUCGAUGGCUAAGAAAGCGGUAUGUACAAAAGGUGAAGUAAAUAAUAGCAGACUUACACUGGAAAGCAUCUCCUUCGAUUAAAACUAAGGAAGCUUACACUUGUACAACUGUUACAACUUACAAUGAUACAUGAGACACUUUUCUGUUGUGGUUUUUUCACUUCUUACCUUCAAUUCCAUGGCCUAUUCUAUAUGCUUCAACUCAAGAAAAACAAAUACAAUAACUUAAUGAACGGGAUUGGUGAUCUUCCACCUUUCCCUCACCCCACCCCACCCCCUUUCUCUAAAGCCAUGCUAAAUGUCAUCAAAUGCUUCGAAAAGAACCAAGAGAAAGCCACGCGAACUACAACACACCAACGAUAAGCAUCUAAUUGUAUUUAACCGACCCCCAACUUGUUUGGAUGGGGUUCAGCUGUUAACAGCAUUAGUAGAUGAGGGUAGUGAUCGCGGUAGCUGGUUAUGAGUUUGAGACUCGGCUUGCGCCUGGGACUGUUUUGUCAGCUCAGCAAGUCUGUUCAGUCUUUCAAGCAGUUGGGUUGCUUUUCUUCUGCCUCUUUCUGUGCCAUUUUGUACUAAAUCUGUCAAGGGGCCUAUCAAACCAAGUCGCUGUGCUUCGACCAGAUGAUGUUGGUCGCCAGAGCAGAGGUGGACUAAAACCGCAGCUGCAUUUUCUUUGUUUCUGGGAGAACCAUUUGCGAUCACAUCCACCAAAACAGGAACAGCUUCUGCAGCUCCAAUGGCUGCCUUCCCUUCUGGAUGACUCGACAAGAUUGCUAAAAUAGCAAGUGAUUCAUCAACCAUACCACCUUGAGGUUCUGUGAGCAGCCGCAUCAGUGUAGGUAUAACUCCAGCCCUUAUUGCCUUGCCCUUGUUCCCUUGAUAAAUACAUAGAUUGAAAAGUGCUGUAGCCGCGUCUUUCUUUCCCCUUUGUGUACCUUCACUUAGUAAUGAUACAAGAGGGGGAAUCGCUCCUGAAGAACCAAUGGUGACCUUAUUUUCAUCAAUAACUGAAAGGCUGAACAAGGUAGCUGCGGCAUUUUCACGUGCUUCCAUGCUCCCCUUCCUGAGUACAAGCACAAUACCAGGCACUGCCCCUGAAGUUACAAUCUGUCCUUUAUUGUUCUCACAUAUGGAAAGGUUAAGAAGUGCUGUAACAGCAUGCUCUUGAGUUCGAGAAUCAGGUGUGGAUAGAAGAUGGACUAGCAGAGGAAUGGCACCCGCUUCAGCUAUUGCGACACGAUUAUCAGUAUUACGCUUAGCAAGAAGGCGGAUUUCAC